rnacentral:rRNA from 1 species
CAGUCGCCGCGGUAAUACGUAGGGUGCAAGCGUUAAUCGGAAUUACUGGGCGUAAAGCGUGCGCAGGCGGUUUUGUAAGUUUGUCGUGAAAGCCCCGGGCUUAACCUGGGAACUGCGCUUGUGACUGCACAGCUAGAGUAUGGCAGAGGGGGGUGGAAUUCCACGUGUAGCAGUGAAAUGCGUAGAGAUCGGGAGGAACAUCAGUGGCGAAGGCGGCCAUCUGGGACAACACUGACGCUGAGGCACGGAAGCGUGGGGAGCAAACAGGAUUAGAUACCCCAGUAGUCCCUGUCUCUUAUAC